rnacentral:lncRNA from 1 species
UGGAAGUAAACCUUCGUUCUACUUACUACCCUUCCCAUUUUGCUUUUCUUGGAAGGACCAUUGGUGCUAUUGCCCAACUCUUUAGAAGAAGAAGAUCUGAUGAAAAUUAUAUGAAUAGUUAUGGAGUUGACAUGGGUAAUGGAGAAAGCAGGUUUGAAAGAAGAAGAUUUAAAAGUUGAGGUCAACGUGAGUUUUUUUAUUGAUUGAGAGAAUAAUAUUCUUUUUCUUUGACUGCGUGAAGUUCGCUGCCU